AGAUUAAGGACUGCAGGUGCCAUGCAUCCUUUACAGCGUGUCUUCCGAGCACAGAGGCUAUCAGCACCAUUGACCUCCAUGUGCUGGGUGUUGCUUAGGACCUUCAGGGCACAUAACAGCACUUCCUGUCCUGAUCCAGAGGGGAAGAGCUCAGAAGGAGUUCAGAAGGAUUUCAGCUCCAGGCUAGCCACUGGACCGACUUUUCAGCAUUUUUUAAGAAGUGCUUCAGUUCCUCAAGAGAAACCAUCUUCUCCAGAAGUGGAGGACCCACCUCCCUAUCUCUCAGGGGAUGAACUUCUAGGAAGGCAGAGAAAGGGUUGGCUUUAUUUUCCCCCCCUUUGGCUUCCUUCUUUGCUCCAUUGCGGCAUCUGUGAUCUGAUUGCUUUUGCUGUUGUCUUAUUAUGUUCUUGGCUUUAGGGAGUUAAUAGAGUAGGUAGAUUGCCUACCAAGUAGUGUUAUUCUAAAGAAAC
rnacentral:lncRNA from 1 species